ACCCUUGUAGCGCAAUGGGUAGAGCUUUGGACUUCUAAUCCAAAGGUCGUGGGUUCGAAUACCACCUGGGAUG